rnacentral:rRNA from 1 species
UACGUAGGUGACAAGCGUUGUCCGGAUUGACUGGGCGUAAAGCGCACGCAGGCGGUUGCGCGCGUGGGGUGUGAAAUCUGGCCGCUUAACGGCCAGGCGCCAUCCCAUACGGCGCGACUGGAGUGAUGCAGAGGUCGAUGGAAUUGCCGGUGUAGUGGUGAAAUGCGUAGAGAUCGGCAGGAACACCCAGGGGGAAACCAGUCGACUGGGCAUCUACUGACGCUGAGGUGCGAGAGCGUGGGGAGCGAACCGG